rnacentral:rRNA from 1 species
AAUGCGAUAAGUAAUGUGAAUUGCAGAAUUCAGUGAAUCAUCGAAUCUUUGAACGCACCUUGCGCUCCUUGGUAUUCCGAGGAGCAUGCCUGUUUGAGUGUCGU